rnacentral:rRNA from 1 species
AGCGAACGCUGGCGGCAGGCUUAACACAUGCAAAUCGAACGGGCACCUCGGUGCUAGUGGCGGACGGGUGAGUAACGCGUGGGAACGUGCCUUUCGGUUCGGAAUAAUCCAGGGAAACUUGGACUAAUACCGGAUACGCCCUUCGGGGGAAAGAUUUAUCGCCGAAAGAUCGGCCCGCGUCUGAUUAGCUAGUUGGUGAGGUAAAGGCUCACCAAGGCGACGAUCAGUAGCUGGUCUGAGAGGAUGAUCAGCCACAUUGGGACUGAGACACGGCCCAAACUCCUACGGGAGGCAGCAGUGGGGAAUAUUGGACAAUGGGCGCAAGCCUGAUCCAGCCAUGCCGCGUGAGUGAUGAAGGCCUUAGGGUUGUAAAGCUCUUUUGUCCGGGAAGAUAAUGACUGUACCGGAAGAAUAAGCCCCGGCUAACUUCGUGCCAGCAGCCGCCGUAA